rnacentral:rRNA from 1 species
UCAGGAUGAACGCUAGCGACAGGCUUAACACAUGCAAGUCGAGGGGCAGCAUAAAAGUAGCAAUACUUUGGUGGCGACCGGCGCACGGGUGAGUAACGCGUAUGCAACCUACCUAUCAGAGGGGAAUAACCCGGCGAAAGUCGGACUAAUACCGCAUAAAACAGGGGCACCGCAUGGUGAUAUUUGUUAAAGAAAUUCGCUGAUAGAUGGGCAUGCGUUCCAUUAGGUAGUUGGUGAGGUAACGGCUCACCAAGCCGACGAUGGAUAGGGGAACUGAGAGGUUGGUCCCCCACACUGGUACUGAGACACGGACCAGACUCCUACGGGAGGCAGCAGUGAGGAAUAUUGGUCAAUGGGCGGGAGCCUGAACCAGCCAAGUCGCGUGAAGGAAGAAGGAUCUAUGGUUCGUAAACUUCUUUUGCAGGGGAAUAAAGUGCAGGACGUGUCCUGUUUUGUAUGUACCCUGAGAAUAAGGAUCGGCUAACUCCGUGCCAGCCGCCGC